rnacentral:lncRNA from 1 species
GAAUGCCGGCGAGAGCCCGAAGGGGAUCGGGCGUGGAGAGCCCCUUUCUGUCCUGGUGACUUAAGAGAUUAAAAUUAAUUUGGUUGCUGUUGGUUCUGAACAAAUAAUGAGUUCUUUUAUUUGAGGUAUGCCAUUUUGAAGACUGAGACGUUGGAGUUUUAUCCUAGAGGAUAAAGGAAAUCUUUGGGAAAGUCAGUAUUUUAUAUAGCAAAAAUAUGAACCUCAAACUGAAUCCUCUAAAGGCCCCAUACAAUGAAGUAGACAUUGGUGGAAACAUUUACACCCAGUCAGCUUGAAGAGUUUCAAAUGGACCCUACCACUGAGAAAUCAAGAUGGCAGUCUACUAUGGGGAAUUGAGGAAAAAUGGAUUAAUACAAGAGUCCUGUGAUAAUAUACAACCAAGACAGGGUUCUUUUAACAUGGAUUCCAUGCAGUGAAUGAAGACAUAGGUUUCUUACCCAACACAAAUGGACAGUGGAUUUGACUUUCUAAAGACUUUUUUUGUGGACAUUUUGACAUUUGGAGAAGAAAGAUGGCACACUAACCCAGAUAAUAGUUUUUAUGCCUGGAAUUUUUUGCAGUUUGAUUUGUAUGCGUAUGACCUCUUGAAAUGUUAAUUUUUAAUAAAAUUUGUAACACUUAAAAAUUUCUCAGUUUGGGUUUUUUUUUUUAAGUGGAAGUUUAAUUAAAUGUUUAGUUUUAUUUUAGUAAUACUUUGGCCUUUGUAGUUGCCGAGUGGUAAAGUGUACUGAAUAUGAAUAAAGCUGGUAAAUUGGAAAUGGUGUAAUCGAAAACAUUUUACUUGGUUUAUGAAGAUUUACGUUUUUCACAAAGUUGUGCUCUUAGAUGGUCAUUUGGUUUAAAUACUGUUUUGUUUGUGCUUUCAUGAAACACCUUUCAAAACAACUCAAUGGGUAAUAAUAGAAUCUGAUUUUAAUCUGCCACAAGAUUUUAAUGAACUUGAAACAAACUGCUUGUUGCUCGAAAAUUCAGGAUGAGUGAUACACAUAUACUUCUGAAUUAUUUUGUGUUGAUUGAAAUGGUUUCUUAAGCUUUUUAAUACUAUAAAUACAUCUUGCUAUAGAAUAUUCAUCUGAAUAUUUAAAUUAAUGUCUCCUAUUGUCUUACUAUUAGAGGAAGAAGUGUUGGAUUUAUGGGUUAGGGUCCUUGGAGUAUUCACAAUUUUUUAAAUUUGAAAUUAUGUGUGUAAUCCAUUUUAUAUAACUUUGAAGUAGGAUUAAUAUCUUGUAUCGUCUUUAUUUUGUACAAUUGGGGAUUUAGAAUAAAUGAAUUGCACCCUGCCAUAGAUUACUUACGUUUGAUUUUUAAAUGCCAGGUUUUCAUUUAUUACUAAUCAACUGAUACCAGUUUUGGUAACUAUUACAAAGGUGGUAGGCAUUAUUUUGGUAGACAAAAUGAGUUCUUGAUUCUGUUUUCCCAUUUUACAUGAGAAGAAUAAAUAGUUCAGGUUAAAUUGUUUUGUGUUAAUCAUACUGUUUGUGAUUCAUGUCAAAUACUGCAGCAUACACAUCCAUGGUUAAUACACGAGCACCAUUUGUUAUUGACUGAUGUGAGGUGGUUGGUCUUUGUUAAAUUCAAAAAUGGAAUUUUGGAUAUUGUUCUUGCUACGAAAUUUAUCUUUGUGUGUAGAGUAUGGAAUUGAAACAGUUUGGAUUAUGGAUUUUACCUAGAUUGGACAUUGUUGAUUUUGUUUGGUGUAAAUCUAAAGUGGAUUUCUUCAGUGAGGGAGAGACAUGGUUCUGGCAGAUUAUGUUGAAUAAGGAAAGUUGAUUGGAUUUUUUUGGGUGUGUGAAUAUGCUUGUCUGAAUGGAGUGCUUGGUAGGAUAUUGUUUCUGGAAUUAGUAAUUUGUUUCUGUGGAUCUCAUGGUUUUGAUAUUUAGGAGAAUUUGCUUUGUGACAUUACUUUGAUAAUUUGCAAUCACGUAUGUCCUAUUGUUAAUAACAUUGUUGAAAUGGGUGUAUACUUACUUGAUUUGAAAUAUAAGGGAAGUGUUGGGAUAUGUGUUUUCUGUUGGAUUUGGACGUGGAGUUUCUUGGGUUACUGAUUUAAAGGUGAUCGUGUUUGGACCAUACUCUUGAAUUUUUGCCUGAAUCAGUAUGGGAAGUAAAUAUAUUGUGAUUAUGAGAAGUUUCUUUGGGGGGAGGAGUGUAAUAUUUUCAAGGUUAUAUAAUGGGUUAAAGAAUUUUGUGAAAGAACAAAGAAAAAUGGAUAUUCUUGAAUAAAAAUUGGUUGCAUUAACUUUUGCUCCAGUGCAACUUGAACACUAGGGAGGCGCUCUUGAGUUGUAAAAGUUACCCCUUUCUUCCAGUGGAGAUGGAAAAUUCCCCCUUAAAUUUUGUCUUUAGAUUAUUUUUAGGCAUCAUAAAGAAGGAAAAACUUGAAUUUAUAUUAUGAAAUUAAGGUUUUACUUUUAUUUAGCAAUCAUUUCACCCAUUGGGGGAUUAAUUUUUAAAAAGAUUAGUACUUAGCUGAGCUUUAGAUUCUCUAAGAAUUAUCCCUUUUUCAAAAUGGCUUGAUAAAACACCACUUCCUGUCCAGGGAGGAAGUUAUUUUAGCUCAAGGACUGAAAUAUUUAGCAGAUCUUUAGACAAAAGGAACAAAUUACAUUUCUCUCUGGCUUAAAAAGGGUGCUUGAGCCAGAGGGGGUUAAGAAGCCCUCCCCCCUCCCCCUGUUGGGGUGGUCUGGAGGGGCAGGGAGGUGUGGGGGUGGGGGUCCUUAGGCUCCCUGGGAUGGAGGAUCUGUCUCUCUCUCUCUCUCUCCU